AGUGAACGCUGGCGGUAGGCCUAACACAUGCAAGUCGAACGGCAGCACAGUAAGAGCUUGCUCUUACGGGUGGCGAGUGGCGGACGGGUGAGGAAUACAUCGGAAUCUACUUUUUCGUGGGGGAUAACGUAGGGAAACUUACGCUAAUACCGCAUACGACCUACGGGUGAAAGCAGGGGAUCUUCGGACCUUGCGCGAUUGAAUGAGCCGAUGUCGGAUUAGCUAGUUGGCGGGGUAAAGGCCCACCAAGGCGACGAUCCGUAGCUGGUGUGAGAGGAUGAUCAGCGACACUGGAAGUGAGACACGGUCCAGACUCCUACGGGAGGCAGCAGUGGGGAAUAUUGGACAAUGGGCGCAAGCCUGAUCCAGCCAUACCGCGUGUGUGAAGAAGGCCUUCGGGUUGUAAAGCCCUUUUGUUGGGAAAGAAAAGCAGCAGGUUAAUACCCCGCUGUUCUGACGGUACCCAAAGAAUAAGCACCGGCUAACUUCGUG
rnacentral:rRNA from 1 species